ensembl:lncRNA
ACAUGAACCAGCACGGUAGUUGGCAGACCAGUCUUUAUCCUACAUUGUCAGUAAUAUAGAUGAUUCAACCAACAACUUUGCAACUUUAUGAAGGUGCUGGAGUAAUGCAUUCAAUAGAAAUUUACCUAGAAUUUUGAUCUUCUUUCAGUUUGGUCAUCCCAUCUCUCUGAACCAUCUCUUCAUCUGUAAAAUGGACAUCAUAAGGCCAGCUUCUGGAUGGGCAUGAGCAUCCUAUGAGAUGCUUUGGAAACAGGAAUCAUCAUACUGAGAGCACAGGCAUUCGUGAAUGAUUAGACAUGCACACUGAGGAGCUACAAGGAAGACACGUGUCCUGGGGAAGCUGCCAAGAAGUUAUAGAAAGGGAACAAGAAACGGUGCAUCUGUGGAGUGAAUACUUAAGGCGACAUCUAAAAGCC